AUUUAUCUACCAGCUCCCAUCUCUCAUGGAUCAAAUUCUUCCCCACUGUACAUAACUCCAUAUCACUUUCAGAUUGCAUAAGGAACCAAUUAGGUGAGAGCUGAAUGUAGGCUCCAACAGGAAGACGGCAUUGAAGCCUGGUUGCUUGUUACUACUCAGAAUGCCAUCUACAAAAGGAAAUUAUGUAAAAAGCAAUAAAGAACCCCUUCUGUUCUUGCAGGAGUCAGUGUUUCAUAACUCUUUCUGUGAUAUCGUCUGUAUAAGUUGAACCUCUAAAAACCUUAUCUAAGUUGCCAUGACCUUACUCAUUACCCUCAAGAAAGAUGAACAAUUUAAAGGGGGAAAAAAGGAAGUGAAAAAAAUGGCGGAUACGAGGCAGAACUAACCUGCAGCUUCCACUCGAAGGGACAGAGCAGAGUGUGGAGACCCACAACUGGAACUUUUUCUCCAAGAACUACCACAGGAACAUACCAAGAAAGCCAAGAG
rnacentral:lncRNA from 1 species